CGGGCAGAGGUCGAAGCUGUGGAGAUCCGUGCCUUGGGAGCACGGGAAAGCGGGUGCGACUCCCGCCUGCCCGACCA
rnacentral:tRNA from 1 species